AUUUCACUUGAAGGGAGAAAUUGAGAGGGGAAAAACAAAGGAAAGAAAUUCAGCAGAAUAGCUUGUUAUCAAAAUUUGAAGAAGGAAAACAAGGCAGGUAUUCAUAUUGAUACAAGGAGAUCAACAAAAGAAACUGAAAAUAAUCCAUACUCAAAACACCACCAUUAAACCUCAUAUAGCAGAAACAAACCAGUUGUUUGUUUUAAAGGAUUAUUAAAGAAAUAAACAUGCAGGAUUAGUAUGCAGUCCACUUCCUAAAAAAUAGAUCAUUGUGCAUACACCUAGAAAAUCCUCCCAUCAUAGACUUUUAUCUAGCUGUUUUCUUUUUAAAUUUAGCUUUUCAAAUUUCACAUAUCUUGGACAGCCAAUAAAGCAUUUUACAACUAGCAUUUUCCCUAUCCAACAACAAUAAUUUUUGCAUAAUUAUUUCACUGGAGAAGCAUUGAUAACUUGAAAACACAAUAAAGUUGUGACCACUUGAAACCUUAGUCUUAUAAAAUGAAGGUGCAAAUAAAAAUUGAAGAGCUACUUGGCAUCUGAAAGGAACUGGUUCUAUCAGAUAUUUGCAACAAAUGGUCUAAUUGACACGCCAAUAACCUCAUUAAAGUGUAAACAUAUGCAAUUUUAAUCUCAAAGA
rnacentral:misc_RNA from 1 species